rnacentral:piRNA from 1 species
UNGGUGCAGUUUGAGCUGAGGGAGUUA